AGAGGUGGCAAGCGUUGUUCGGAAUUACUGGGCGUAAAGGGCGCGUAGGCGGUCGAUUAAGUCCCGUGUGAAAUCCCUCGGCUCAACUGAGGAACUGCACGGGAAACUGGCUGACUUGAGUUCGGGAGAGGGAAGCGGAAUUCCGGGUGUAGCGGUGAAAUGCGUAGAUAUCCGGAGGAACACCGGUGGCGAAGGCGGCUUCCUGGACCGAUACUGACGCUGAGGCGCGAAAGCUAGGGGAGCAAACGGGAUUAGAUACCCCGGUAGUCCUAGCUGUAAACGAUGAGUGCUGGGUGUAGGGGGUAUUAACCCCUCCUGUGCCGAAGCUAACGCAUUAAGCACUCCGCCUGGGGAGUACGGUCGUAAGGCUG
rnacentral:rRNA from 1 species